AACAAAUUAAUCAAAAUUAAUUGGUCACAAAGUGAAUAUCUCUUAUCCUCCUCCACUUCAUCAUCACCUAAACUAUUAUCAUCCAUCUUGGCCCAUCAUCACGGUAACUCGACUGACCAUUUGAAAACAAUUUUCAUAUUUCCUUUGAAGGUAAAAACCAGCGCAAAGGAACAAGUGAUUAAAACAAGUCUAAUUAUGGCAAUAUAACAACAUAAUUACUGGUCACAUUUGGUCAUUCUUUGAACCCUCAAAUGGUCAAAGGCCGCGCAGAUAAGGUGGGAUAAUAUGGUAAAACUGAGGUUACCUUUAAAGGGUGAAAAUCAAGAUGAAAGGUUAACCUUUAAAAACAGUAAACCUUUCAAAGUGAAGUAAUUAAGGUUAUUUAAGAGACGAUUUCUUGUUGGAAAGCAAUUCAACUUAAUGGUGAUUGAUUUGUUAUUUAUUAUUAUCCUUAGGACAUUGUCAUCAUCAUCAUCAUCAUAACUAGUCAUCUUCAUGACCAGUAGCUUUGCUAGUUUAACAACUCAACAUCCACUUUAACUCCUGACCUGUAACCUUUGUAAACAUUGGUCAUGUUGACUGAAAGACUCAAAAUUGACAAUCAAUGGUAUCAACCUUUAAGGGUGCAUUUCAAGUGUUAAAUAUGAUACAAUUUAACAUGUAAUAUUGAUUUUGUGUCUUCAGCUCUUUUAAUCAACUUGUAAUGAAAGCAAUUUUGAAACAUCCUUGAUUGACAUGAACAUUGUAUUGUAACUUUUGAGCAAAAAAAAGCAGCGAUUCAGUUUGCUGCUUUUGUUAUCAUGGAUAUAUCCUGAUUGAAGAUGAAACAUAAUCAUUUGCCAUUGUUGAACUGAAGCCGGUAAAAGUAAAGGUAAACCGUGAAAAUAAUAUUACAAAUGAAAAGAGAUUCUGAAUACAAACACAAAAAAAGACAUUUACUACAAGAAUGUUUGUUGAUCACAUGAAGGAAGAGGAUGAAGAUGAAAAUGAUGAAAGUAAUGAUGAAAAAAGCUAGUAAAAUGUGUACAAAUCAUCUUUAUAUUGAACGCCAUUUUAAUCAUUUUCAUCGUCAUAAUCAACAAAUGUAUUGUGUACUUUGAUUUGCUGUCGGCAUUAAACAACUUAUUUUUUUUCAUUCCAAACAUCAUUGUGCUCUCAUAAUGAUCAACAAAUUAUCCUAUUAUUGUUAUACUAAUUCAGAUAAUACAUGAAGAUGUUUAACUUGAUCAACAUCAACCUUUCACUGUGUUGAUAUCAACAUAAACACUUCAACAAAAUUGUAUCAAAUUUAUUCACCUUUCUUGGUAAUCAGUUGAUUUAGCUCUCGAGUCAAUGGACUUGCAUCAAAGAUGAUCGCAACUCAAGUAUUAAAAGGUUAGAUUAUGUUUGAUUGUCAAGUUAAUGAACAAAAAAUGUCAAAUUUUCACACUUAAAUUGCGCGCCCAUCAAACUCACAACUCCUUUCUGUCUCAAGUCAUAUGUUAAAUUUUAGCUUUGUCAUGGAAAUUUAUGCUUAAAAUAAAAUACUAAUUUUGUUGAAUUUUAUAAUUGUGCAGCUAUUGACAAUCCUUGAAUUUUGAUUAUUUGAUCAACGACCAUCCUUUUUACCAAUUAUUUACUAGUUUUGUACAAGAGAUUGGGUAUCAAUUUUACUUAAUCAUUACAUUUGGAUCUCUACUUUUGUACCUUUACAUUUGGUGGAUUGAUCUGGCAUUUCUGGUGCCUCAACAAUUAUCUUUAAUUUAUAUUCAUGGCUAUGACACUGGUUCUUAGUUAACACCGUUACUAAUACAAAAUGGCAAACCAGAUGACCAGAUUAUUCUGCCAAUUGGAAAUGGAUUAAGAAAAUGUGUUUACCUAAUGUGCCUUAAGCUGGAAGAUAAUCAUCAUGUAUGAUGUAUUGUGAUUGGAAAAGCAGGGAAUAAGGUUUGCGCUUUUCAAUUGGUUAAAAGGAGUUACACAUUUAGCCGAUAUCAUUCAACAAAUAAAGCCUAUCAAGGGAAGUCAAUUAACUAAGUGAUUUCAACAAGUUAAUGUUUAUAAAGUGAAAAGUGUGUUCAGCAAACUCAAAUACAUAACUUGGUGUAUUUAAUAAGGUAAAAUGUAGAUGAUGAAAAUUAUUGCCAUUGGUAACAAUCAUAAUAAUGGCAAUAAUGAUUAUCAUCAUCAAUAAUAUUGAUCAAGAAUGAUGAUAAUUAAAUAUUACAAACAAAUAGACUGAUUAAUUGAGCUUGAGGCUUUAAAGUCAAUGAAUCUCUUCAGGGUAAAACAAUAUAAAAUAAAUAAUCAGUGAGUUAAAUGAAAAAAACAAAAAAAGGAAAAGCAUUUUUCCAAAUUUUCAUUUUUCUCUUUAAUAUCAUCAUAAUUUCAAACUAAUUAAUCAAUCUGAUUGUAAAUUAAGUCUGUCAAAACUGUUCUAGAUUCAGUUUUCACCAACAAUUAUUCAAAUGGUUCAUCUAACAAAAUAAAUAUCAUUUCAAGUUUUCAUUUUUUGUUAACCAAUAAUAAUUAUCAUACAGAACCGUUAACCUUUUUUUAAUAACAUAAAAGGUUGAUUACAAAUCUGUAAUUACCGUUGAAGAUGAAACAAUUUGUGAAAAGAUGAAAUCAAAUUUAACCUUAUUCAUGAUGAAAAAUAAGGACUAAUGUAAAUAAUGGCGAGAAACGAGUUGAAACAAAAUGGAUUGUUAAUGAUAUGUUACCAUGUUUAUUGAGUUCACUAUUAAUGGUAACAAUUUGUACAUUAAUUGUAUCUUUAAAUGCAUGAAAUACAUGAACAUUUACAACAAAUUAACUCAAUCUAUUAAAUGAUUUCACAUGAAAUUGUAACUAACAUUAAAAGCUUCAAAUUUCAUCUAUUUUAAUACAAUGAUAAUUGGAAGCAAAAGGUUGACUCUUGGAGCAUAAAGAAGACAGAAAUGACAAUGAAAUUAAAAUGUUGGAUUCAGAUCUAAAA